GGGGGGACUGGAACCAAUCAACUUAGCGGUUGAAAAUGAAAUCCAUCGUCCAGUUUGUGGUCGAGCUGGAAGUGUUAAUGCCAUAGGAAAUUAUGCUCCGACUUACAUUCCAGGAGUCCUAGCUGACCGUGAAUGAGCUUAAAGGUUUAGACCAAUUGAUGUGAAAUUGGCAAGAUUUUUAGUACUUUUGCAGGGAUUUUCUUCUUGAAUUGUUCCCCACAAUGUCGUAACCACCAACCUAAGCGCUCACUUAUUGACUGACUUCAACUGAAUCAUAUCAUUCACGAGGCAUCAGGCAAGCUAUGGUGCUGCAUUUCCUGACUCCCCACAUUUCUUGGGACUAAGAUUGGUACAACUUUAAAAAUGGCAAUGAUGCACUGAACCUCAGGAGUGAUCCAAGAUUUUGGUCAAUUUUUGGAAGAAGUGGCUGCUAAAUUUCAAUUAUCUAAAAUUCUGCUCUUUACUGAGUUUUUUCUUUCUACUUAUUGUGUAUUAGUACAUUAACAUGUGAAUGAAAAUAA